GACGAACGCUGGCGGUGUGCUUAACACAUGCAAGUCGAACGAAGUGGCGAACGGGUGAGUAACGAGUAAUCAACCUGCCCUUCAGAGGGGGACAACAGUUGGAAACGACUGCUAAUACCGCAUACUGAAGGAGGGGAUUGCGUAUGAUUAGCUAGUUGGAGGGGUAACGGACCACCAAGGCGAUGAUCAGUAGCCGGGCUGGAGGGAGGAACGGCCACAUUGGGACUGGGAAACGGCCCAGACGCCUAAGGGAGGGAGCAGGGGGGAAUCUUCCGAAAUGGACGAAAGUCUGACGGAGCAACGCCGCGUGAGUGAUGACGGCCUUCGGGUUGUAAAGCUCUGUUAAUCGGGACGCGGUACCGGAAUAGAAAGCCACGGCUAACUACGUGCCAGCAGCCGCGGUAAUAC
rnacentral:rRNA from 1 species